rnacentral:rRNA from 1 species
CGCGGCCUAUCAGCUUGUUGGUGGGGUAAUGGCCUACCAAGGCGACGACGGGUAGCCGGCCUGAGAGGGCGACCGGCCACACUGGGACUGAGACACGGCCCAGACUCCUACGGGAGGCAGCAGUGGGGAAUAUUGCACAAUGGGCGAAAGCCUGAUGCAGCGACGCCGCGUGAGGGAUGACGGCCUUCGGGUUGUAAACCUCUUUCAGCAGGGAAGAAGCGAAAGUGACGGUACCUGCAGAAGAAGCGCCGGCUAACUACGUGCCAGCAGCCGCGGUAAUACGUAGGGCGCAAGCGUUGUCCGGAAUUAUUGGGUGUAAAGAGCUCGUAGGCGGCUUGUCACGUCGGAUGUGAAAGCCCGAGGCUUAACCUCGGGUCUGCAUUCGAUACGGGCUAGCUAGAGUGUGGUAGGGGAGAUCGGAAUUCCUGGUGUAGCGGUGAAAUGCGCAGAUAUCAGGAGGAACACCGGUGGCGAAGGCGGAUCUCUGGACCAUUACUGACGCUGAGGAGCGAAAGCGUGGGGAGCGAACAGGAUUAGAUACCCUGGUAGUCCACGCCGUAAACGUUGGGAACUAGGUGUUGGCGACAUUCCACGUCGUCGGUGCCGCAGCUAACGCAUUAAGUUCCCCGCCUGGGGAGUACGG